rnacentral:rRNA from 1 species
AGAGUUUGAUCAUGGCUCAGGAUGAACGCUGGCGGCGUGCCUAAUACAUGCAAGUCGAGCGAACCGAUUAAGAGCUUGCUCUUAAGAAGUUAGCGGCGGACGGGUGAGUAACACGUGGGUAACCUGCCUAUAAGACUGGGAUAACUCCGGGAAACCGGGGCUAAUACCGGAUAAUAUUUUGCACCGCAUGGUGCGAAAUUGAAAGGCGGCUUCGGCUGUCACUUAUAGAUGGACCUGCGGCGCAUUAGCUAGUUGGUGAGGUAACGGCUCACCAAGGCGACGAUGCGUAGCCGACCUGAGAGGGUGAUCGGCCACACUGGGACUGAGACACGGCCCAGACUCCUACGGGAGGCAGCAGUAGGGAAUCUUCCGCAAUGGACGAAAGUCUGACGGAGCAACGCCGCGUGAGCGAUGAAGGCCUUCGGGUCGUAAAGCUCUGUUGUUAGGGAAGAACAAGUGUUAGUUGAAUAAGCUGGCACCUUGACGGUACCUAACCAGAAAGCCACGGCUAACUACGUGCCAGCAGCCGCGGUAAUACGUAGGUGGCAAGCGUUAUCCGGAAUUAUUGGGCGUAAAGCGCGCGCAGGUGGUUUCUUAAGUCUGAUGUGAAAGCCCACGGCUCAACCGUGGAGGGUCAUUGGAAACUGGGAGACUUGAGUGCAGAAGAGGAAAGUGGAAUUCCACGUGUAGCGGUGAAAUGCG